GGCCCCUGUCUGCUCGGUUUUGGGUUGGGGUGACCGCGGAGCAUAAAAUAGCCUCCACGAAAGAAGGGAUGAUUCCCUCAUUUUAGAACUACACUUCCAAAGACUAACAAAUUAAUUUUAAGUGAUCCGAUACCCGUAUUCGAUCAACGAACCAAGUUACCCUGGGGAUAACAGCGCAAUCUACCUCAAGAGCCCCUAUCGACAGGUGGGUUUACGACCUCGAUGUUGGAUCAGGGUAUCCCAGUGGUGCAGCAGCUACCAAAGGUUCGUUUGUUCAACGAUUAAAACCCU
rnacentral:rRNA from 1 species